GUAGGGUGCGAGCGUUAAUCGGAAUUACUGGGCGUAAAGCGUGCGCAGGCGGUUUUGUAAGCCAGAUGUGAAAUCCCCGGGCUUAACCUGGGAAUUGCGCUUGAAACUAGGCUGCUUGAGUGUGGCAGAGGGGGGUGGAAUUCCACGUGUAGCAGUGAAAUGCGUAGAGAUGUGGAGGAACACCGAUGGCGAAGGCAGCCCCCUGGGUCAACACUGACGCUCAGGCACGAAAGCGUGGGGAGCAAACAGGAUUAGAUACCCUGGUAGUCCACGCCCUAAACGAUGCGAACUAGGUGUUGGGGAAGGAGACUUCCUUAGUACCGCAGCUAACGCGUGAAGUUCGCCGCCUGGGGAGUACGGUCGCAAGAUUA
rnacentral:rRNA from 1 species